GACGAACGCUGGCGGCGUGCUUAACACAUGCAAGUCGAACGGAAAGGCCCUGCUUUUGUGGGGUGCUCGAGUGGCGAACGGGUGAGUAACACGUGAGUAACCUGCCCUUGACUUUGGGAUAACUUCAGGAAACUGGGGCUAAUACCGGAUAGGAGCUCCUGCUGCAUGGUGGGGGUUGGAAAGUUUCGGCGGUUGGGGAUGGACUCGCGGCUUAUCAGCUUGUUGGUGGGGUAGUGGCUUACCAAGGCUUUGACGGGUAGCCGGCCUGAGAGGGUGACCGGCCAAAUGGGGAAGGGGGAACGGCCCAGACUCCUAGGGGGGGAAGGAGGGGGGAAUAUUGGAAAAGGGGGGGAAGGCUGAUGAAGCAACGCCGGGGGGGGGAUGAAGGCCUUGGGGUUGUAAACCGCUUUCGCCGGGGACGAAGGGGGGGGGAAGGUAAUGGGUAAAGAAGCACCGGCUAACUAAG
rnacentral:rRNA from 1 species